rnacentral:rRNA from 1 species
GACGGAGGGGGCAAGCGUUGUUCGGAAUUAUUGGGCGUAAAGGGCUCGUAGGCGGAUCCGCCAGUUUGACGUGAAAUCUCCACCGCUCACCGGGGAGGGGCCGUUGAAUACUACGGAUCUGGAGUUCGGCAGAGGACCAUGGAAUUUCGGGUGUAGCGGUGGAAUGCGUAGAUAUCAGGAGGAACACCAAUAGCGAAGGCAGCUCGCUGGGACGUUACUGACACUGAGGCGCGAAAGCGUGGGGAGCGAACAGG